UUAAAAAAAUCAAACAAUUCUUAAAAAAUUGCAAAAUAACCCUUUUUCGGGUUAAAAUUGAAAAAAGAUGUUACAUAAAAAUAGUUUGUAAGAUUUUCUAACAGCAUAUAUGCAAAGUAUUUUGAUUUAUUUAAAAAUAAUUGAAAAUAGAUUUUUCAAGGACGGUGUCGAGGUCACGGGGUUGGUGUCGUUUUUCGAAAUUUGUUAACUUAAUAUAAUAGAAAAUGUUUCGUUUUAAAUUAAGAAAUGUUAAAAUUAUUAAGUUAAAAACAUUUGAUUUUAAUGACACUUAAAAUUAGACACAAUAUUAUAGGUUACUAACUAAAAAUUGAAAAAACAACAAUAAAUAAUAAAAAAU